rnacentral:rRNA from 1 species
UCCCCAUUAUUGUGCAUGCAGGUUUAUCGAGGAUGCCCAGCUUGCUGGGUGGAUUAGUGGCGAACGGGUGAGUAACACGUGAGUAACCUGCCCCUGACUCUGGGAUAAGCGUUGGAAACGACGUCUAAUACUGGAUAUGAUCACUGGCCGCAUGGUCUGGUGGUGGAAAGAUUUUUUGGUUGGGGAUGGACUCGCGGCCUAUCAGCUUGUUGGUGAGGUAAUGGCUCACCAAGGCGACGACGGGUAGCCGGCCUGAGAGGGUGACCGGCCACACUGGGACUGAGACACGGCCCAGACUCCUACGGGAGGCAGCAGUGGGGAAUAUUGCACAAUGGGCGAAAGCCUGAUGCAGCAACGCCGCGUGAGGGAUGACGGCCUUCGGGUUGUAAACCUCUUUUAGUAGGGAAGAAGCGAAAGUGACGGUACCUGCAGAAAAAGCACCGGCUAACUACGUGCCAGCAGCCGCGGUAAUACGUAGGGUGCAAGCGUUGUCCGGAAUUAUUGGGCGUAAAGAGCUCGUAGGCGGUUUGUCGCGUCUGCUGUGAAAUCCCGAGGCUCAACCUCGGGCUUGCAGUGGGUACGGGCAGACUAGAGUGCGGUAGGGGAGAUUGGAAUUCCUGGUGUAGCGGUGGAAUGCGCAGAUAUCAGGAGGAACACCGAUGGCGAAGGCAGAUCUCUGGGCCGUAACUGACGCUGACGAGCGAAAGCAUGGGGAGCGAACAGGAUUAGAUACCCUGGUAGUCCAUGCCGUAAACGUUGGGCGCUAGAUGUAGGGACCUUUUCCACGGUUUCUGUGUCCUAGCUACGCAUUAAGCGCCCCGCCUGGGGAGU